UACGAAGGGGGCUAGCGUUGCCCGGAAUCACUGGGCGUAAAGCGCACGUAGGCGGAUCUUUAAGUCAGGGGUGAAAUCCUGGAGCUCAACUCCAGAACUGCCUUUGAUACUGGGGAUCUCGAGUCCGGGAGAGGUGAGUGGAACUGCGAGUGUAGAGGUGAAAUUCGUAGAUAUUAGGAAGAACACCAGUGGCGAAGGCGGCUCACUGGCUCGGUACUGACGCUGAGGCGCGAAAGCGUGGGGAGCAAACAGG
rnacentral:rRNA from 1 species